rnacentral:hammerhead_ribozyme from 1 species
AUCCAGCUGACGAGUUCCAAAUAGGACGAAACGCUUGUCCAGGAU